UACCAGCUCUUCGAGUGGUGUGGAUGUUUAUUGGGCCUAAAGCAUCCGUAGCUGGCUGGGCAAGUCCCCUGUUAAAUCCACCGAUUUAAUCGUUGGAGUGCGGGGGAUACUGUUCGGCUAGGGGACGGGAGAGGCAGACGGUAUUUUCGGGGUAGGGGUGAAAUCCUAUAAUCCCGGGAAGACCACCAGUGGCGAAGGCUGUCUGCUAGAACGCGCCCGACGGUGAGGGAUGAAAGCUGGGGGAGCGAACCGGAUUAGAUACCCGGGUAGUCCCAGCUGUAAACGAUGCAGGCUAGGUGUCUGGGCGGCCACGUGCCGCUCUAGUGCCGCAGGGAAGCCGUUAAGCCUGCCGCCUGGGGAGUACGGCCGCAAGGCUGAAACUUAAAGGAAUUGGCGGGGAGCACCACAAGGGGUGAAGCUUGCGGUUU
rnacentral:rRNA from 1 species